rnacentral:rRNA from 1 species
GACGAACGCUGGCGGCGUGCUUAACACAUGCAAGUCGAACGCUGAAGCACCAGCUUGCUGGUGUGGAUGAGUGGCGAACGGGUGAGUAAUACGUGAGUAACCUGCCCUUGACUCUGGGAUAAGCCCGGGAAACUGGGUCUAAUACUGGAUGCUACAUGUCACCGCAUGGUGGUGUGUGGAAAGGGUUUACUGGUCUUGGAUGGGCUCACGGCCUAUCAGCUUGUUGGUGAGGUAAUGGCUCACCAAGGCGACGACGGGUAGCCGGCCUGAGAGGGUGACCGGCCACACUGGGACUGAGACACGGCCCAGACUCCUACGGGAGGCAGCAGUGGGGAAUAUUGCACAAUGGGCGAAAGCCUGAUGCAGCGACGCCGCGUGAGGGAUGACGGCCUUCGGGUUGUAAACCUCUUUCAGUAGGGAAGAAGCGAAAGUGACGGUACCUGCAGAAGAAGCACCGGCUAACUACGUG